CAAUAGCGUAUAUUAAAGUUGUUGCAGUUAAAAAGCUCGUAGUUGGAUUUCGGGAUGGCCCGGCCGGUCUGCCGCAAGGUAUGUUACUGGCCGAGCUGUUCUUCUUCGCAAAGACUGUGUGUGCUCUUAACUGAGUGUGCUCAGGAUCUGUGACGUUCACUUUGAAAAAAUUAGAGUGUUCAAAGCAAGCCAGCGCUUGAAUACAUAAGCAUGGAAUAAUGGAAUAGGACUUUGGUUCUAUUUUGUUGGUUUCUGGAACCUUAGUAAUGAUUAAGAGAGACAGUUGGGGGCAUUCGUAUUUCGUUGUCAGAGGUGAAAUUCUUGGAUUUACGAAAGACGAACUACUGCGAAAGCAUUUGCCAAGAAUGUUUUCAUUAA
rnacentral:rRNA from 1 species